GUUCUUUUGAACCAGGGGCUGGCCUCAAACUUGAUGUAUAGUCAAAGCUGACCUUGAACUCUGAUUCUCCUCCCUCAACUUCAUCAGGAAUUGGGUAUGGGUGUAAGCCCGCACCCCUGGUUCCUGUCAGGGGUUAGGUAUGGGUGUAAGCCCGCACCCCUGGUUCCUGUCAGGGGUUAGGUAUGGGUGUAAGCCCGCACCCCUAGUUCCUGUCAGGGGUUAGGUAUGGGUGUAAGCCCGCACCCCUAGUUCCUGUCAGGGGUUAGGUAUGGGUGUAAGCCCGCACCCCUGGUUCCUGUCAGGGGUUAGGUAUGGGUGUAAGCCCGCACCCCUAGUUCCUGUCAGGGGUUAGGCCCACCCCUGGCUUUUGAGAGGCCCUAGUGAAAGAACAAAGGGAAUGCUGGC